AGGAAGGUAGUGUAGUUAACACCUGCAUUAUUUGACGUUACCUACAGAAGAAGCACCGGCUAACUCCGUGCCAGCAGCCGCGGUAAUACGGAGGGUGCGAGCGUUAAUCGGAAUUACUGGGCGUAAAGCGCAUGCAGGCGGCCUGUUAAGUCAGAUGUGAAAGACCCGGGGCGUUAACCUCGGAAUUGCAUUUGAAACUGGCAGGCUAGAGUCUUGUAGAGGGGGGUAGGAAUUUCAGGUGUAGCGGUGAAAUGCGUAGAGAUCUGAAGGAAUACCAGUGGCGAAGGCGGCCCCCUCGGACAAAGACUGACGCUCAGAUGCGAAAGCGUGGGGAGCAAACAGGAUUAGAUACCCUGGUAG
rnacentral:rRNA from 1 species